rnacentral:misc_RNA from 1 species
AGUCAUUACCUCAACCGCAAGGAGGGGGAUGCCUAAGGCAGGGCUAGUGACUGGGGUGAAGUCGUAACAAGGUAGCCGUACCGGAAGGUGUGGCUGGAUCACCUCCUUAAAGGGAGACCUAAUUCAGGUAGGAGACGAAAAAAAAGUAGUCCCUACCAAGAAUCAAUCCCAAAAGGUCGGAGCGAGGCAAAAUUGGCUUUCAAACUAGGUUCUGGGUUCACACAAGACCUGAAUCAGGAACAAGGGCUAUUAGCUCAGGUGGUUAGAGCGCACCCCUGAUAAGGGUGAGGUCCCUGGUUCGAGUCCAGGAUGGCCCACCUGUACAGGUGGCAAAAAGAAAGAAAAGAAGCGAGGAAUCAGCACCUUAUCUUACUUAUAUAGUAAGAGAGAAUGCUGGCUCUGAGUUCAGAGUCCAGAGGAACCUUGAAAACUGCAUAG